rnacentral:rRNA from 1 species
CCCACGGGCGGCUGCAGUGGGGAAUAUUGGACAAUGGGGGCAACCCUGAUCCAGCCAUGCCGCGUGUGUGAAGAAGGCCCUCGGGUUGUAAAGCACUUUCAGUGAGGAAGAACGCCUGGUGGUUAAUACCCAUCAGGAAAGACAUCACUCACAGAAGAAGCACCGGCUAACUCCGUGCCAGCAGCCGCGGUAAUACGGAGGGUGCGAGCGUUAAUCGGAAUUACUGGGCGUAAAGCGCGCGUAGGUGGCUUGAUAAGCCGGUUGUGAAAGCCCCGGGCUCAACCUGGGAACGGCAUCCGGAACUGUCAAGCUAGAGUGCAGGAGAGGAAGGUAGAAUUCCCGGUGUAGCGGUGAAAUGCGUAGAGCUCGGGAGGAAUACCAGUGGCGAAGGCGGCCUUCUGGACUGACACUGACACUGAGGUGCGAAAGCGUGGGUAGCAAACAGGAUUAGAUACCCCGGUAGUC